GCAAUUGCAGAAAGUCACUCAUCAAAUAUUGAAACCCUCUCCAUUUGUUGUAAACUCAAAAGAAUAAGAUUAACAGGAUGGGUUACAAAUAUACGUCGGAUUCCCAAUCGUAUAAUGGAAUGACGAUAUAUGCAUAUGCCUCAUAGAAACAUAUUAGGAAAGGACAAUUUUAUGAAAAUAACAAGAGUUCAGAACAUGAAUAACAAGUCAUCAAAGUAUUUCUCAUAUAUCAACUACAGACUAACAUCAUCUUUCCGUUUCUCGAAGUCUUUGUCUACAUUUAUGCCAUGCCCCCACUUG
rnacentral:misc_RNA from 1 species